rnacentral:lncRNA from 1 species
CUCAGAGGUGAACCCCUGCCUCAUUCUGUUACCCAGGGAAUCAUCCCUUAAACUUCUGGUGACUCUGAACUGUUUAUAAAUCCCUGGACAUCCCAUUCUCUUUCAUUCUGCCUGAUAUUGUUUCCUUUACCUGACUACAUCCUUCAAUCGAUAUAUCUAGAUAACAUCUACAUAAUCUAGAUCUCAAUACUUACCUCAAAUACUGUCUCUUCCAGAGGGUCUUUGAGGAGGGCUGCAUGCUCCUAAUUUGUGCCUCUGCAGUAAUUUGUUCCUCACUCUAUCAAAGACAUAUCAUAUUACAUUGAAGUAAUCUGUCUCCUCAACUAGCCUGGAUGUCAUAAUGCCCAGGGCUUGCGUCUGAUUAAUUGUAUGUCAUUUAUAUGCCCUUCCUUGGAGAAGACACUCAGUAAUCCUAUAUUAAUCUCUUUUUUGAGGCUUGAAAAGUGGAGUACGGCUUCUGCAUUUCUAUACAACAUUAAGUUUCAAAGGACAGAUGAAAGCAGAAGAGCCAUAGAAGAAGGCUCUAGGUGCUCAGUUACUGCUACAUCUUUACCAUCCUGCACGCCUCUUUUACUUAUGGCUAGAUUCCCGCUAACAAAUGUUGGAUAAGAAACACUGUCUGAAUCACAAGAACAGAGAGGUUAGGAGAAAUAGUUUUGCUCACUCCUUCCAUGUGGUGAAACAUCUACUAAUGCAAUACUCCAGUCCUCUCUCUAUCCUUACUCACAUGAAAAUGCAAUGGUUCGAUUUGUAAAGGUAAAUAAACAGAUGUGUUAUUUUGCAUGUAUCUACAUUAUACUUGAUAUUUGAAAUCUGCCGUCAA